GAUGAACGCUGGCGGCGUGCCUAAUACAUGCAAGUAGAACGCUGAAGGAGGAGCUUGCUCUUCUGGAUGAGUUGCGAACGGGUGAGUAACGCGUAGGUAACCUGCCUGGUAGCGGGGGAUAACUAUUGGAAACGAUAGCUAAUACCGCAUGACAACAGUUAUUGCAUGAUAACUGUUUAAAAGGGGCAACUGCUCCACUACCAGAUGGACCUGCGUUGUAUUAGCUAGUUGGUGAGGUAACGGCUCACCAAGGCGACGAUACAUAGCCGACCUGAGAGGGUGAUCGGCCACACUGGGACUGAGACACGGCCCAGACUCCUACGGGAGGCAGCAGUAGGGAAUCUUCGGCAAUGGACGGAAGUCUGACCGAGCAACGCCGCGUGAGUGAAGAAGGUUUUCGGAUCGUAAAGCUCUGUUGUAAGAGAAGAACGAGUGUGAGAGUGGAAAGUUCACACUGUGACGGUAUCUUACCAGAAAGGGAUGGCUAACUACGUG
rnacentral:rRNA from 1 species